GAGAAAUCGCAACUCCGCCGGCUUCAUAAUGACGACAAUGACAAUCAUCAAACAAAUGGUGGCCAAGAAGUAUGAGGAGGAAUGGGAACGAGUGAAAAAGGAAGUACAGCAAGCUGUGGCAAUGACCUUUGGUAACAUCUCGAGAUCGAAGUGGGCAGGCAGACCAAAAGUGCCACAGCUGAUGCCAUCCAGGAGGUGCAGAGGUACCUGGCAGAGGCCAAUAUUGCCAGGUCCCAGGAUCCUCUGAGAUACUGGGACAACCACAAGACAGUAUAUCCAAACCAGGUGUCAUUACAAUUUCCCUGCACUCCAGCCUCAUCGGUGCCCUGUGAGCGGGUGUUUUCUAAAGCUGGAGAAGUUGCAUCAA